AAUGAACGCUGGCGGCAUGCCUAACACAUGCAAGUCGAACGAAGGCUUCGGCCUUAGUGGCGCACGGGUGCGUAACGCGUGGGAAUCUGCCCUCAGGUUCGGAAUAACAGCGAGAAAUUGCUGCUAAUACCGGAUGAUAUCGCGAGAUCAAAGAUUUAUCGCCUGGGGAUGAGCCCGCGUAGGAUUAGCUAGUUGGUGUGGUAAAGGCGCACCAAGGCGACGAGCCUUAGCUGGUCUGAGAGGAUGAUCAGCCACACUGGGACUGAGACACGGCCCAGACUCCUACGGGAGGCAGCAGUGGGGAAUAUUGGACAAUGGGCGAAAGCCUGAUCCAGCAAUGCCGCGUGAGUGAUGAAGGCCUUAGGGUUGUAAAGCUCUUUUACCCGGGAUGAUAAUGACAGUACCGGGAGAAUAAGCCCCGGCUAACUCCGUGCCAGCCGCCGCAGUAA
rnacentral:rRNA from 1 species